CCUACGGGUGGCAGCAGUGAGGAAUAUUGGUCAAUGGGCGAGAGCCUGAACCAGCCAAGUCGCGUGAGGGAAGACGGUCCUAUGGAUUGUAAACCUCUUUUGUCGGGGAGCAAAAAGGCCUCGUGAGGCCACAAGUGAGAGUACCCGAAGAAAAAGCAUCGGCUAACUCCGUGCCAGCAGCCGCGGUAAUACGGGGGAUGCAAGCGUUAUCCGGAUUUAUUGGGUUUAAAGGGUGCGUAGGCUGUGAGGUAAGUCAGCGGUGAAAUGCCCCCGCUCAACGGGGUGAAGUGCCAUUGAUACUGCCUUGCUGGAAUGCGGAUGCCGUGGGAGGAAUGUGUGGUGUAGCGGUGAAAUGCAUAGAUAUCACACAGAACACCGAUUGCGAAGGCAUCUCACGAAUCCGCGAUUGACGCUGAUGCACGAAAGCGUGGGUAUCAAACAGGAUUAGAUACCCCUGUAGUC
rnacentral:rRNA from 1 species